rnacentral:rRNA from 1 species
UAAGCAUAUCAAUAAGCGGAGGAAAAGAAACUAACAAGGAUUCCCUUAGUAACUGCGAGUGAAGUGGGAAAAGCUCAAAUUUAAAAUCUGGCAGUCUGAAUUUACUUCUUUGGCUGUCCGAGUUGUAAUCUAGAGAAGUGCUACCUGUACUGGACCAUGUACAAGUCUCCUGGGAUGGAGCAUCACAGAGGGUGAGAAUCCCGUCUAUGACAUGGACUACCAGUGUGUUGUGGAGUACUUUCAAAGAGUCGAGUUGUUUGGGAAUGCAGCUCUAAAUGGGUGGUAAACUCCAUCUAAAGCUAAAUAUUGGCGAGAGACCGAUAGUGAACAAGUACCGUGAGGGAAAGAUGAAAAGGACUUUGGAAAGAGAGUUAAACAGUACGUGAAAUUGUUGAAAGGGAAACACUUGAUGUCAGUUGUGUUAGCUGGGGAUCAGCCUAGCAUUUUUGCUUGGUGAAUUUCCUGGUGUGACAGGCCAACAUCAGUUUCGAYUGCUGGAGAAAGGCAGACGGAAUGUGGCACCUUUGGGUGUGUUAUAGCUUUCUGUCAGAUGUAGCAGUCGGGACUGAGGUAUGCAGUGCGCCGUAAGGCAGGGUUUCGACCACACUCGCACUUAGGAUGUUGGUUUAAUGGCAUCAAUUGACCCGU